UACGGAGGGUGCAAGCGUUGUCCGGAUUUAUUGGGUUUAAAGGGUGCGUAGGCGGCUUUUUAAGUCAGUGGUGAAAUCCAGCAGCUUAACUGUUGAACUGCCAUUGAUACUGUAGGUCUAGAGUAUAGAUGAUGUUGGCGGAAUAUGACAUGUAGCGGUGAAAUGCGUAGAUAUCCGGAGGAACACCGGUGGCGAAGGCGGCUUCCUGGACCGACACUGACGCUGAGGCGCGAAAGCUAGGGGAGCAAACGGG
rnacentral:rRNA from 1 species